ensembl:lncRNA
GCUAGAUGGCAUAUUACCAUGGAUACAGUUCAAACCAGACUCUGAUUGGUUAAAAGUGUCAGCUAGAUGGCAUAUUACCAUGGAUACAUUCAAACCAGACUCUGAUUCGUUAAAAGUGUCAGCUAGAUGGCAUAUUACCAUGAAUACAGUUCAAACCAGACUCUGAUUGGUUAAAAGUGUCAGCUAGAUGGCAUAUUACCAUGGAUACAGUUCAAACCAGACUCUGAUUGGUUAAAAGUGUCAGCUAGAUGGCAUAUUACCAUGAAUACAGUUCAAACCAGACUCUGAUUGGUUAAAAGUCAAAUUACCUUUUGGGGUUUGUUGACCCUCAGGCAAAGUGGCUCACCGUUGUAACAUUAUUGUAACAUUGAAAGAAUGUUGAUGUAACGUUAUCAAUGGUGAGAAGGGUUUUCCCACCAUGGCUGUUGGGAAAGACUGUGUUUGUUGUCUUAUUUGAACAGCUGUGGAAACCAUAGUGUUCCCUGGAAGGCCCGAAACUAAGGACCACAUAUCCAGCCAGGUCUGAGCUCCGAACUUGCCCUUAGAUACAGAUCUAGGAUCGGAUUUAAUUCUCCAAAUCCUAACCUUAACCAUUAGGGGGGAAAUGCAAUACUGUCCGUAAAUCAGUCAGUGUCUUAGGGGCAAGUUCAGGCCAGAUCAGCAGAGCUCAGAUAGACCAGAUUGUUCAAGCUAGGCCAGAUUGCACAACCAGAGCCCGUUUCAUCACCUCUUUAGACAAACAGGCCUUCCACGCGGCGUAAACAGCAGCGAGUCUCCCUCACAUCUAGGUCAAUAUAGUGUUGGAUUCACAACUUUACAGUACAAGACAUCAGAGCAAGCUGCCCAUAGAUGCAAUCGGAUGUAUUGUUGUUCUGCCUUUAAUAUAGAUACAUAAUAUGACUUAACAUCUUGUCAAUGAGUGACUACCCAUGUUUUUGCUUGUUUGAUUGUAAUUAAAGGUAUUUAGGAAUACCGUUCUGUAUACCGGUGUACCCAUUGUGCCACAACAGUCGCAGAAAAGUGUCAUAGGCUACUUUUUGUUGUUGUAGAAUGUCCCUUUUUUAAUAUUGCAUUCACCCAAAUGUUAUGGAAUGAUUAGUCUUUAUCGAAUAGGAUUUGAUUCCUUCUUUUAACUUAAUGGCUCAGUUUUACCCAAAGCCUCCUCUCUCCAAGCCACAAUUAGAAGGACGUUGGCGUUGGCGUUUUGCAAAAUGAAGAAUAUGUUCAAAUGAAUU